UUAGGCCUACUUUGGAACGGAGGAAUUUUAUAGGAUUUUUGCGGGAAUUUUAACAGAUUCCUGUAAAAUUCAUUCGUUCCAAUGUAGCCCUAUUAG
rnacentral:ncRNA from 3 species